rnacentral:misc_RNA from 1 species
AGCGCGGAGAAAUUCUCUCACCGUAUCCAGUCAGCCGUGUCCUCUGAGCGGUCUAGAUCUGAGCAUUGUAAACAUGGCGACCAAGUUUGUAGUAGCUGUGGCGAUGUUGGCCUUGUGCCGCGCCAACCCCGUCCUCAUAAACGGUGUAGAAUACCGUGACGGACGCGCCUACUCCAUCGGGCAGGCGAACAGCUACGGCGGCGGCGUGAGCACCGCACAAGCCAACGCCAACGGCAACGCGGCGCAGGCGUUCGGCAGCUCGAGCGGCGGCGCGGGGCUGGCGCGCAACGGCUACGUGUACCCCGGACAGGCCAUCGCACAGGCGCAGACAUACGACGCGCCGCCCUUCCCCGACACCGCCGCGUAUGGCGGCGCCAAGGCCGUCGCGCAGGCGCACAACGGCGCCUACUACCCCGUGCCCGCGCCCGCCGCCGUCAUCACCUACCAGCAGAACUUCGAGGUGCCCGCUGAGGUGGCCUCCCUGUCCUCCGCCCAGUCCAACGGCGAUGGCAUCGCCCAGUCCUCCGCCAACACCCAGGGCGGCAUCGGCAGCUACGUGACCUCCUCCAACGCCAAGACCCAGGGCUCUGGCUCCGCCGACUCCAACGCUCGCUCCGGCUACGGCUCCACCAGCACCUCCGCCAAGACUCAGGGCCAGGGCACCGCCGAGUCCUCCGCGCAGACCAACGGCGCCGCCGGCAUCGUGUACCCCGCCGUCCCCGCCGUGCAAGCUGACGAGCCCGCAGCCGUCAUCGACGCCAAGUCUCCCCUCUUCUACACCCAAUACGUCGCCACCCCCGUCCAGGGCAUCGCCUCCUCCAACGCGAACGUGAUCGGCUCCGGCAACGCCGCCUCCUCGGCUAAGAUCGGCCACGCCGCCGGCAGGACCAUCUCCUGGCGCUUCGGCACUCUGUACGACAGCCCCGCCUCCGCCCAGGCCCAGGCCAACACUCACUCCGGCUACGGCGCCGCCAGGUCUGCCGCCAACACCCACGGCUACGGCUCCGCCAACGCCAACGCUGACGUGAACGGCUACGGCUCCGCCAAGUCAGUCGCCGACAGCCACGCGGCCGGCGGCGUCGCCCAGUCGACCGCCAACUCGCACGGCGCCGGCGUCGCCAAGGCCGCCGCCAACGUGAACGCCGCCGGGUACGGGCUCGCGCGCUCGGACCUGCAGGGCCAGUACUACGGCGGCUCCCGCAGCUCCGCCAACGCGCACACGCACGGCUACGGCAGCGCCGCCUCCUCCGCCAGGACUCACGGCGCCGCGCUCAGGGUCACCAACUCUCAGGCCAACUCCUCCGGCUUCGGAUCCGCACAGGCCAACGCUGUGUCUGUGUGAGUGAGUCAGCGAGCACCGCACAGCAACCACAUCACGACGACUACUCAACACGAACAAACUUGUCUUGAUGUAUUUGCGAGGUGCAACCAUUGCAUUUAUUAGUCAUUAUUAAAUUAUGUAUUUAUUUUAUGAAAGAAAAUCAUUUUUAAAUAUAACAAAACUUUGAAAAUGA